UUUCACAAAACAGUUUUUCCAAGAUUUUAUAAUAGAUAAAUGUAAACUAAUAAUAUACUAAGAACUAUUUUUGUUAAAAGCAAUGACUAGUAAACCUUGACAUAGUUCUCUCAAGAAAAAUGAUUUUCGGGAUUGUAUUAAAAUGAUUGUAAAUAGAAACUUGUUUUGAAUUUUAAGCUUAAUUUGCUCGACGAAAAAUAGUAUAACGGUAUAAAGUCAAACAAUUAAUAAAUAAAAUGGUUAUUUUUGUUGCUACGGAAAUAUAACGGAAUAUGUUUUCCAAUAAAAUCCUUUAUGAAAAUCUGGACAAAGUUGUGACAUAAUUUUAUAUGUGCAUGUAAAAUAUUAAUUAUCCAAUUGAUAAUUUUAAAUUUUAAUGACAAUAUCUUUACUAAAACAAAAUUAACGCUAACGUCAUGCUAAUUGUAAGAACUCCAUCUUUAAAGCUAAAGUUGUCACGUAACAACAUUUUAAAGGAGGGAUCUAAUCUCGGAAAAGGAGAGCAGUAUGAAUAAAAAAACAUCAAAGAUGAAUUGGGAUUCGAUGGGAUUUAAGCAAAUAUGCAAACAAAAAUUUUUUAGUUGGAAGAAGCGAAAGUUAUGAUCGAGUUAAUGGUUACUGUUAUACUUGUUGCUGGAUGUUUGAUGUUUGUACAAACAUUCAUAAUGAGAAGUUGCUUUUUAGUUGGCCAACCGGCACAAAACUCGCACUUUAGUAACAAUUCACUUACAAAAUUUUAAAGUUUACUAAAUAACAUUUUUUUUUUGUAAAGUUUUUUUUUUUCGUUUAACAAACUCUAUAAACAGUAUUUUAUUCAAAAAAUCCUGAACUUUUGAAAGGAAGUGCGUUAUAAACUAUACUUUCUUUUUCUAUUGUACUUUUAAACGCGUCUAUUCAUUGAUAUUCGAUAUUUUGAAAAAUGAACGCUAUCUUUAAUGAAGAAUUUCAAAACAAAUCAAAGCAGUUAUAUAAAAGAAUUUAUUUUACUAAAAGUUUUGCUACAAGAAAUACACAUGGGCAGCAAAUAAAAUUUGUGAAAGAGUUAUACUUGAAACCGCUUUGGGCUUUAUCCGACCCAUUCAAGGCAUCAUGCGAGAGGAACUCAUAAUUUAAAAUACGUCAAAAAGUAUCAGAGUUUCAAUAGGAAAGCCCUUUUUACUCUUUAUUUGUUAUUAUGGCUGUUUUGGUGAUUAUAUUUGCAAUUCUAGUGUUUACCGCUAUAACUUUUAUACAAGCGGCAAUGCUGCUCAAAUGUCCUUGCUUAAAAAACCGAAUAUGUACUGUUCCCAACAGAUGUAAUGGGACAAGCCCACAUUUUUGAAGUUUUUUUAAAAUAGACAGUUUUUAAAAAGCAACAACAUUGUAUUAUUUUUAGUGGUAAAUUUUUUUUUUUAUUUGUUUGUUUUUAAAUACAAAGUUUUUUAAUUUUAUCUUUAUUGUAUCUAUUUUAUUUUUGAAAAAGUGUAAAUAUCGUAACUAAAUGAUAAAAAUGUAAAAAUGGGUUUUUAAAUGAAUCAUAAAUUUUGAAUGAAUAUUCAAGAGAUAUGCUAUAUAAAUAUAUGAUGAAAUUUAUUGGCAAAUUUUUAUUUUGUACGAAUAGAACGAGUAUUAAACGGGUUUUGAAGUAAACGUUAA
rnacentral:lncRNA from 1 species